rnacentral:lncRNA from 1 species
CUCCCCCUCUAUUUCCCAGACUCCAGAGACUAAUCCUUCCUUCAGUUGGUUUUGCUGCUACUAUGGCAAUAUUUUCUCCCCCAUAGUGGUAAUCAUACAAUGGUCUCUGAGAACAGCAGGAGAAACGGUGCCUGUUAGAUGCAUAAAAGCAGCUGGAGCUCCUAAAUAACAGCAGCCAGCACGGGGAACCUGGCCUCGGGGCUGGGGCACCUGCAGCCCCUUCAGCCGUGUCAGCAUGCAGGACCAGGUCAGCCUCCGGAAUUACAGAGGUGCAGAGGAUGUCACGCACCAUCUUUUACAGAUGCCACCUGCCUCAGCCCAAGGAGUCCAGCAUUGUCCUCGUGCUUGCUCGUGAGCACAGCGUGGGAGAGCAGCCGGCAGGGGAGCAUCGAGCAUCCAUCGCCCCCCCGUCCCUCCACUGCAGCUCCAGCUCUGGUCUGCCGUGAUGCCCUGCUGUGGCAAAGCAAAGACACUGCGGCACCAUCAAACCUUUACAGAGAGAGGCUUUUGUUUAAU